GGAGGAGCGGUUCCGGCAGCUGUUCGCCGCCUUUGGCACGCUGACGGACUGCAGCCUCAAGUUCACCAAGGAUGGCAAGUUCCGCAAGUUCGGCUUCAUCGGCUUCAAGUCUGAGGAAGAGGCCCAAAGGGCACUGAACCAUUUCAACAAGAGUUUUGUCGACACGUCCCGGAUCACAGUGGAGUUCUGCAAGUCGUUUGGGGACCCGACGAAGCCGCGAGCCUGGAGCAAGCAUGCCCAGAAACCAAGCCAGACCAAGCAGCCUCCGAAAGACAAGGACUCGGUGCCCCCAGAAACUAAGAAAGACAAGAAGAAGAAAAAGGCAGCGAGUGAGCUGGAGGAGCUGAAGGAAAGCACCGAGUUCCGGGAGUUCCUGUCGGUUCACCAGAGGCGGACACAGGCAGCCACUUGGGCUAACGAUGCCCUGGACACGGAGCCCUCGCAAGGGAAGAGCAAGCAGGCCAGUGACUACCUGAACUUCGACUCCGAUUCGGGCCAGGAGAGUGAGGAGGGAGCCGGGGAGGACUCGGAAGGUAAAGCAUGGACAC